UUUUUUUUUGGAAAUACCACUGUCUAGACACUACCCCAGAACAAUUAAACCCCAGUCUCCAGAGGGUGGAGUUGGGCAUCAGUACUUUUUUUUUCUUUUGUUAUCCCCAGUAGGUUGUAAGAUGCUGCCAGAUUUGAAAAAUACCACUUGGGGGACCUCCCUCUGGCCUUCCUCUUCCAGCUUUUUCCCUCCCCAGAGUGAAAAGUCUAAGAGAACAAGGAGAUGUGCCCUCCAGGAGUCCCUGAUACCCCCCUACUCCUUUCCAGAUCAUAUUCCAGUGCCUGAAAGUCCCUGCUUAAAUGGUCCUGACCCCCAAGGCCUGCACAAGUCUCCUCCCAUCUUCCUUCCUCCCAAGAGUGGACUGCACACCAGUCUACACACUCCAGGCCCAGGCCCGAGGGCAGCUGCUGGCAGGUAGCAUGAGCAAAGCAUGGACAUGUGGGCACACAGUCACUCCUGGGAGCCGAGUUCAGGCUCUCUCUGGUCUGGAUCCCCACUGCCUCCCCAGCCCUUCACCCACCUACACCCCGUCUUUACAUCCCAGAGCCCUACUCUUCACCCAAUGAAAAACUGAUUUCUUCUCUUACACCAAGAACUUCCCCGGCUCUCUGCCUUUCCAUCCCACUAUGAAUGCUGUUCCACCUACCCAGAUCCUUCCUACCGUGUGGCAGAAACCCUCAUCGGCCCCCACCAUUCAUGUAAGAAACAUUACUAUAGAAAUUUUAGAUGGCUUUCUGGCUGAAGAUUUCACUCCCAGCCUCCCUGGCAGCCAGGUGGGACUACAAACAUGUUGUGCUGUUGAAUGGGGGCAGAGUAAUGCGGACAAUUUCGGGCUCAUGACCUUAAAGGAAAAGAUGAGUCUUAUCCUUCCUUUUCCUUCCUGCUGGCUGGAAACAGCCACUUUGUAUUACCAGGUGAGAGUCACACUUGCAUGGAAGGAGUCCCUGGGCAGCAGAGGAGCACCUCACCUGGCCUGUACCUUCACAUAAGUCUUUUAUAUCCUUGCUGUAACUAGCAGCCUAACCUACACCCAACUAAUAACCAUCCCUCCUACUUCAAUAUCGAGCUCAAAUGCUCUACUAAGAAGUUGUAGAUAGACAAGCUGUGUUCUCUAGUCUCCCACCAAAGCUCAUGACUCAGAGCCUUCCAAGAAGACUUGUGCAGUAUACAUCUUUGGUUUCUGCCCAUCCCUGUCCCCUGCUCCAGCUGCCAGUCCUUGAGCUCCUCUGCAGGGCCUUCUUGGCUCCAUUCUGGGUUGAUGUGGUUCAUUCGGUUGAUGUGGUAUGGCCCACUGGGGAAUCCCCUCCCCAGUCACGGUGGUUGGCUCAGGGAAGGAUAUGUGGCCCUAGUGAGGGGUAUCGGUAUGUAAGACAGAUUGUGCCUGCCCUGGAGCCAGGGGAGGGAGCGCCCUUUCUGCCCUAUUGCUCAGCUGGGGGUGUAAGCCAGUAGCUUGGAGACUACCUCUUAGGGGAACUUGCUGAGAAUGAAACCAGCUCAGAGGUAAGGGCUGAGAGGAGGAGGAGGGGAAGGAGAAAGAGGCUUUCUGAUGGCAUGAUGUUUAAGCACCUGGUUAUAGCUCGGCCUGAAGCCAUCUUGCCCUUGGAUCUUCAGUUACAGGAGUCGAUAAAUGCUCUUUGGGGCUUCAGCCAAUUUGAGUUGGGUUUUGUUUUUGAGUUGGUUGAGGCUACAGCCAAUUUGAGUUGGGGUUUCUUGUACCUGAGAUUUGGUGUGCUCACUUCUAUCCUCCAAGAGCCUUGGCUAAUAGAAUUCAUCUCCCUGAGACAACAUUACCCACCAAGUCCAGCACCUGCACUUCCCAGGCCCCUUUGAACACUGGUGUUUGCCAUUGAGGUUCCAUUUUUUAUGAUGUCUAGGCUCUCUCCAAAGGUGGUUUGCCUUAAAUAAAGGGGGGCAGUGAUUGUGAUGAAAAAUAAACUCAUGUCUGUUAACCAUAUACUGUGAACUAAGCAUUUUAACAGGCACCUUACAUGGAUUAGUUCAUUUAAUCCUCUACACAAUUCUAGAGGUACUAGAUAUUUCCCCCAUUUUACAAAGAAACUGAGGCUCAGCAGCAUAGCUAGGGCCACCACCCGGAGCAGCCCAAUUCCAGAGUCAGCACGUGUUUCCCUGCCCUUCCAGAGGCAGAGAGAGAACAUCA
ensembl:lncRNA